rnacentral:rRNA from 1 species
AACGAACGCUGGCGGCAGGCCUAACACAUGCAAGUCGAACGAAGUCUUCGGACUUAGUGGCGCACGGGUGAGUAACACGUGGGAAUAUACCUUACGCUGGGGGAUAACAUCGGGAAACUGAUGCUAAUACCGCAUACGCCCUUCGGGGGAAAGAUUUAUCGGCGAAAGAUUAGCCCGCGUCCGAUUAGCUAGUUGGUGAGGUAAUGGCUCACCAAGGCUCCGAUCGGUAGCUGGUCUGAGAGGAUGACCAGCCACACUGGGACUGAGACACGGCCCAGACUCCUACGGGAGGCAGCAGUGGGGAAUAUUGGACAAUGGGCGCAAGCCUGAUCCAGCCAUGCCGCGUGAGUGAUGAAGGCCUUAGGGUUGUAAAGCUCUUUCAACCACGACGAUGAUGACGGUAGUGGGAGAAGAAGCCCCGGCUAACUUCGUG